UUUGUCAAAACUGAAUUGGAUUUGUCAUAAAAACACUUCAAAAACUAGUUGCUAGUUCCAGAAUGACCUGGAAAUAACAUCUACGGUCCUACGAGCUGUCGACUGCAAAUACAAGCCUGUCAAUCCACCUUCAGUCUGAGUUGAAUGAUACAGCCCCCCUCUCAGCAUACAAGGUAGACGGAUCGCUGCUGCUGACCCCCAAGAGGUUCAUUCAAGUGAGAGGGAACUGAGUUCAGCACAAUGGCAGCUGCAUCUCCACAACCAAUGAUCCUUCGUGUUGUUGAUCCAGACCAGGCUAGAAAACUAAAACUCAGCUCAAGA